rnacentral:misc_RNA from 1 species
CCAUGUGCCGUAGUUUUACGCGGCGAUGUCUUAAAAUCGCUACGAUAGCCUCUCUAUGCAUCCUGCUGCAAUUUUCCCUUGCCGAAGUGGGUGUGAAUAUUGCAUAUAUUUUGAAUCAGACUUUUUUCAGAACUUGUAUGAUCCUUUCAAGCGUAUUUACAAUUAUAUUCAUGAUCAUUAUAUCAACCAUUGGAAUUAUAGUACUCUUUGGACAGAACAGACUCAGACCCUUCAUAUUGGCUAUCUGCCUGUUAGUAUAUCUCACAUUGAAGUCCCUUCUUUGGAUACUCUUUCAAGACCGGGAAAGGACAACGAUAAUGUCUAUAUUGUCAGAUAUAUUCUUUAUCCUGUCCACAAUAUGUACUAUUGUCUCGAUAUUAUUAGUCACAUCAUUGGUCUGGAGGAUCGAACAUACCUGAGACUUUUGUUUCGUUUUCACUAAACAUCAACAUUUGUAUAAAUUGGUUCAAAAAAACAUGUGCUUCCUACGACUAUUUAUACUCCAGAUCCAAACGGUCGGGCUGUGUUUCAUAGUUUUGAUAUGUAAUACUUGUAAUCUUUUCUAUGGCAUACGAUUUGCUAGCAAUUUCGAUGGCCCUGCGCGGAAUCUGCUGAUUGUGUCUAUAAUACUGGACUGUGUUCUAUUCCUGAACAUUUUCUUGGGCAUUUAUGGGGCUCUUCUUCAUAAGCAAUGGCCCUUAAAGCUGUAUAUAUUCACUCUGAUUACCUUCUUCAUAAGUAAGGUAUUGAUUGCGGAUCAAGCUGUUGGCUUUGAUACCGAAUUCUAUUACACCUUGGUGAACCACUGGUACCAUAUGGAAACUGCCUUUUCGGUUUUAUGUUUGAUCUUUGCCUUCUCAUUGUACCUAAAAAUGGACGACUUGGGAGACUUCAAGUAAAAAACCAAAUAAAAUGCGAAUGAUCUGGAAUUAAUAUCAAAAUUAAUUGAGUUUUACAUGAGAACGACGUGUUACACUACAUUAGCUAUUAAUCAUCUAUGGACUUAUUGACGUGUUUGAGGCCCUGAGAUAUACGGCCAUGAGCGUGAUCAUCGUUUUCGCAGCUUGCAAUUUUCUUGACGACAGUUUUACCGUAAUGACCCUAUGUGAGGGUCAUGAGAAAAUUAAAACAGGUCUAAUCGUAUCGCUUGUAAUGAAUACCGUAGCGUAUAUUCCAAUUGUCACUGGUUUUUAUGGCACCUAUCGCAAUCACAUCUUGAAGCUACAGCAGUUCAUAAUCACAAUGAUGGCAUAUUUUUUCGGCAAAAUCGUACUAAGCAAAUUUUUAGUUCUUUUCGAACUGCCUAAAGUUGAAUUGAUCGUAUCGUAUCAACUAUGUAUUAUCACUUCUGGACUUUGUUUUGUAUUCGCAAUUCCACUAACUGUGAAGCUUUUGGAGAAAGAGAAUGAACCCGAACCCGAAAUUCAAGUUUAAAUUCA